AGACGUCUACAUUAGAUACCCGCGUAGUCCCAGCCGUAAACUAUGCGCGUUAGGUGUAUCGGUGACCACGAGUUACCGAGGUGCCGAAGGGAAACCGUGAAACGUGCCGCCUGGGAAGUACGGUCGCAAGGCUGAAACUUAAAGGAAUUGGCGGGGAGCACCACAACAGGUGGAGCCUGCGGUUUAAUUGGACUCAACGCCGGGAAGCUCACCGGAUAAGACAGCGGAAUGAUUGCCGGGCUGAAGACUCUGCAUGACUAGCUG
rnacentral:rRNA from 1 species